rnacentral:rRNA from 1 species
UACAGAGGUCUCAAGCGUUGUUCGGAUUUAUUGGGCGUAAAGGGUGCGCAGGCUGUAUGGUAAGUUUGGUGUGAAAUCCUGGGGCUUAACCCCAGAAUUGCACUGAAUACUGCCGUGCUAGAGGACUGGAGAGGAGAUUGGAAUUCACGGUGUAGCAGUGAAAUGCGUAGAUAUCGUGAGGAAGACCAGUGGCGAAGGCGGGUCUCUGGACAGUUCCUGACACUGAGGCACGAAGGCCAGGGGAGCAAACGGG